AGAGUUUGAUCCUGGCUCAGAACGAACGCUGGCGGCGUGGAUUAGGCAUGCAAGUCGAACGCGAACGGGAGUUGAACAUUCCUUCGGGAAUGGGAUGUUCCCUAGUAGAGUGGCGAACGGGUGAGUAACGCGUGGGUAACCUGCCCUCGAGAUGGGGAUAACACCCCCGACGGGGUGCUAAUACCGAAUAAUAUCAUCUUAUCAUACGCUUAGAUGAUCAAAGGUGGCCUCUACAUGUAAGCUACCACUUGAGGAUGGGCCCGCGUCUCAUUAGCUUGUUGGUGAGGUAAUGGCUCACCAAGGCUGUGAUGGGUAGCUGGUUUGAGAGGAUGGUCAGCCACACUGGGAUUGAGAUACGGCCCAGACUCCUUCGGGAGGCAGCAGUCGAGAGGCUUUGGCAAUGGGGGAAACCCUGACCAAGCGACGCCGCGUGGGUGAUGAAGGCUUUCGGGUCGUAAAGCCCUGUCAUGGGAGAAGAAAAACUACCGGGACAAUACUCCGGUAGCUUGACGGUAUCCCAGGAGGAAGCUCCGGCAAACUCCGCGCCAGCAGCCGCGGUAAUACGGGGGGAGCAAGCGUUGUUCGGA
rnacentral:rRNA from 1 species